rnacentral:rRNA from 1 species
GCCUAAUACAUGCAAGUCGAACGCACUCUCGUUUAGAUUGAAGGAGCUUGCUCCUGAUUGAUAAACAUUUGAGUGAGUGGCGGACGGGUGAGUAACACGUGGGUAACCUGCCCUAAAGUGGGGAUAACAUUUGGAAACAGAUGCUAAUACCGCAUAAAACCUAACACCGCAUGGUGUAGGGUUGAAAGAUGGUUUCGGCUAUCACUUUAGGAUGGACCCGCGGUGCAUUAGUUAGUUGGUGAGGUAAAGGCUCACCAAGACCGUGAUGCAUAGCCGACCUGAGAGGGUAAUCGGCCACACUGGGACUGAGACACGGCCCAGACUCCUACGGGAGGCAGCAGUAGGGAAUCUUCCACAAUGGACGAAAGUCUGAUGGAGCAACGCCGCGUGAGUGAAGAAGGUUUUCGGAUCGUAAAACUCUGUUGUUGGAGAAGAAUGUAUCUGAUAGUAACUGAUCAGGUAGUGACGGUAUCCAACCAGAAAGCCACGGCUAACUACGUG